UCAGGACAGACCCCAACCAGCCCUUUCCCAGAAGGGCUCCCUGGAGGUGACAGAGAAAACACAAAGUGUCUAACUGCUCUGCUGUGCAAAGCUCUCCUCCCAGGGCUUGACAGAGACUCCACAGCCGAGCCCAGGAAUCCAUGAGAAAGAUGCUCCUCACUGAUAAAAAAGAGAAGCAUAGGAGGAGAGUCCCCUUCCUCCGUCUCUGCAAUGCUAUCAUUCGCCUGUGACUCCUUUGACCUCGGCAGCCAGCUGGCGUCCUGAAGGAACUGUCCUGAGAUGACAGGCUGGGUGACGGGAAGGCACCAAGGCCCCUGACGACUUCAUCACGGGGAUCUGCUCUCCCUCUGGACUUUUUGUUAGGGAGAUGAGUCUUUCUUAUUGUCUAAGCCAUCUUGGUGGCCAAAGAUAUCCUGAUACCAACACUUUGCUACAAGAAGAAAGAGGAGGCUUUUAAAGAAGAGAUUAGAAGCAGAGGUGGAGGACGUGGUGAACACUCCACACAUUGGAGGUGGAUCAAAAAAUAUAUUGCUGCGAUUUAUGUCAGAGAGUGUCCUGCCUAUGUUUUCUUCUAAGAGUUUUAUAGUGUCCAGGACUGACUAAUGUAUCCAAGGUCAUAGAGAAGUUACAGCAGAACCGCCAUUCACCUCUUGAAGGAGGAAACAGACCACAACUCCAAAGAACAGAAUUCCGUCUCCAAGUUUAACAGUUUCCCCUCUUUCAUUUGUGUAUAGGAUCUGCAGUGUCUAGCAGCUAAGACAGCCCAAAACUUUCUCAUUUUUCAAAGAACAAAAACACCCAUCACCUGCUCUACUCAUCCCCUCCUUAGCAUCAAAGAAGAGAAAACGAAAUGACUAGAAUAACGGUCUUGCUCCUGAUGACGCACGGGUGAAGCUAUGUCUGUUUUUAUUAAUUACCAUUUGAGUGUUAUGGAAAAUCUUACCAAUAAUCAAGAGUAUGUGCCAGUUACAGAGUCCCAGAUUUGGAGGUUUGGAAUGAGACCACACAGAAGGCAGGUGCUGGUUGGCCUCAAGUUAACAUGAAGACAGCCAAAAUGGAAAAAGAGGGUUAUUUGAUUGGAAGAUCAGAGAGAAGCAAUUAGUCAUGGGAUAUCAUGAUUCCAGCCCAUCUGAUGAAGUCAUGUUAACAUCUGUCAAUGAGAAGAGUCUUGUGACAUCCUUUAACAUGGAUGCAGUCUCCAUGUGGACCCAUGGCCGGCUGAACAAGCAAUCCAAACAUCCUGGAGUCUUGGGUCUCAGGCCGUUUUGCAGAUUCAUAUUCGUCCUGUAAGACUUGGCUCCUAUGCGCCCUUCUGCAAUGUCUUCUCCACCCUAGAAAAAUAGGGUAAGUGCACCGGCAUCUAGCAGGCCCUGCAAGGGGAUGAAAGUGCCUAUUUACAACCUGGUUGGCCUGCUUGGCCUGUAAGCUCUUUAAAGGCAAUAGCCGUGUCCAAUUUGGUUUUUAUUUUUCCUUCCUAACAGCUUUAUUGAGAUAUAAGUCAGGUACCAUAAAAUCUAUUCUUUUGAAGUGUACAGUUCACUGGUUUUUAGUAUACUCUCAGAGGUUUGAAACUAUCACUGUGUAGUUUCAGAACACUUUCAUCAUCCCUCUUAUGGGCUGAAUUAUGCCCCCCCACCAAAAUUCACAAGUUGAAGUCCCAACUCCCUAUACCUCAGAAGUUCUUUAAAGAGAUGAUCAAGCUAAAAUGAGGCCAUUAAGGUGGGGCCCUAAUCCAAUAUGACCAGUGUCCUUAUAAGGAGAGAGAAAGAGAGAGACACCAGGGGCAUGCUACAGUAGCACGCAGAGGAAAGGCCACAUGAAGACGAUGAGGAGGCUGCCAUCUACAAGCCAAGGAGGGAGGUCUAAGAAGAAACCAAUCCCACUAGCACCUCGACCUUGGACUUCCAGCCUCUAGAACUGUGAGAGACACAUUUCUAUUGUUUAAGCCACCCAGUCUGUGAUAUAUUGUUACAGCAGCCCUCGAAAACUAAUUCAAUCCCCAAAGAAACCCUUCACCCAUUAGCAGUCACUCCCAUCCCCACGCCCCAUGGUUCCUGGCCACCACUGAUCUGUGAUUUCUGUCUAUAUGUAUUUGCCUAUUCUGGACAUUUCAUAUACAUGGAAUCAUACGACAUGUGGUAUUUUGUGACUGGCUUCUUUCACUAAUGUUUUCAAGGUUCAUCCAUGUUGUUUUGGUACUUCAUUCCUUUUUAUGGCUGAAUAGUUUUCCAUUGUAUUGAUAGACCACAUUUUGUUUACCCAUUUGUCAGUUGAUGGAUAUUUAGAUUACUUCCACUUUUCGGCUAUUACGAAUAAUGCUGCUAUAAACAUUUGUGUACUAGUUUUGGUGUGGAGAUAUGUUUUUCUUUUGGAAAACAUAUUCUAGGAGUAGAAUUGCUGGGUCAUGUGGUAAUUCUAUGUUUAACAUUUUGAGGAGCGGGCAGAUUGGUUUGCAAAGUGGUUGCACCAUUUUACAUUCCCAUCAGCAGUGUAUGAGGUUUACAACUUCUCCACAUCCUCAUGGACACUUUUAUUCUAGCCAUCCUAGUGGAUAUGAAGUUAUCUCUCAUUGUGGUUUUGAUUUGCAUAUCUUUGAUGGCUAAUGAUGUCAAGUAUUUUUUCAUAUGCUUUAUUGGCCAUUUGUGUAUCUUCUUUGGAAAAAUGUAUAUUCCUAUUUGUUUUUACUCCAGCCCCUGGUCCAAACUGGGCAUACAGUGGGGGCUUAAUAAAUAGAAGUCACAAACCACUUACAGCAGAAUCACCCAGGGCUCCUAGGUCCCAACUGAGACCUACUGGGUCAAACUUUCUGGCCUCAGAAUCCACAUGUAAACAACAUCCUGGGGAGGUUUCCACCACACACUGAAGUUUGAUAACUACUACCUUAACUGAACUAAAGAUUCUUUAAAUAUCUGAAGAGCUGUGAUGUAUUCAGAGGUAAACAUGAGAUCUAUGCUGUUCUAGACUGCAGGUGUGGGGCUGGUGGACAACAGUCACAGGCAGGAGGACGUCACCUCAUCACGUGGUAUCGACUGAGCUUGGCAUUUGGCUGGUCUAUUUGCUAUGAAAGUUGCAGAAGGGAGUCGCAAUUGGCUGAGAUGUAGAACAGCGUGUGGUCCUUGUAGGGAAAGUACCAGGUAGAUUCCAUUAAUUUUAAAAUAUUCUGCCUUAUGAUAACAUAUCCUGGUAUUUGCUGUAUCUAAAAUGGACUAA